GGCAGGAGGAGAAGAGGAAAGUAAAGAGAGUGGAACUGACGAUUUCAUUUGCAUGGAUGUCACCUGUUCUCAUGAUCUCUGGCAUUAUUAUAGAAGUACUAGGGGGCUUAGCCCCCUCCUGGCUUUGCUCGCCCACCUCCGGGCCUGCUCUACGCACGAGCCUCUGUGCAUCCUGCCACUCACGGAUGUAUUACACAUCGUGAUGUCCCUACAUUGAUGGAUUGAAGGCC